GGUUCCUGUUUGGCUAAGGUUAGUCUUGAAAACUAAUUAAAGAUGUUCGACUCAUCUAGGUGCCU
rnacentral:tRNA from 1 species